UCAAAAUUCUAUUUUCUAUGAAAAAAGGAGAUGUUAUACUAGAACUCGAAAUCCUAUUUUCUAUGAAAAAAGGAGAAGUCAAUGUUUAUCCUUGUUAAAGUAGAAACAGGCUGUUUUUUUUUUUUUUCCUCCUGGAUUGGGAGAGUAUCUCUAUUUGGAAUUUCUCUAGCCUAGAAAUUAAAUUAAGUAUUCUAUUCAGUACUUGCCCACCCAAUAUUAAGAGAGUUCGGCUGUGAAGAUUCGAAGACAAAUUUGAAAUCAUUGUAGAAGAUCGAAGAUUCGAAGACCGAUUUGCUUCAAGAUAUUUGCCUAUGCAUCAAGAGGUAUUCCAGAAAGAGAGAGUUUUAAAACUUCAGACUUAAGGUUCAAGUUUGAUGAAUCAAGUUUACCAACCUGUUCCUUUAAGUGAUAGGAUUUUUGGGUUGUCAGCAGUUAACUUUGAAGUGGUGAUCUUCCAUUUUCUGAAAGGUCUAAUCAUUUUAAAGUCUUGUUUCGUUUAUGUCUUAGGCUAUUUCUAUUGGAUUCUUUUGGCUAUCGUCGGGGCAUGUCCCGACUUAGAUUAAUAUUGGUCUGUUUAGAGGCUUUGUGGAUAACUGUGGAUUGGGAGUUGGUAUUAUGAAUUUUUAGCACAUUCUUACUGUUGCGUAUUCUAUCUUAUUAUAUGUUCAGAAUUCACCUGUUGCUAGUUGUAUUGUUUUCUGUUUGGCUAGGCAAAGAGGUGGUCUCCGGUUCAUGACGGACUUGAGAUACUUGUCAUGGCCAGGCCCUGGUUCGAGUCGUGACAUUAGUAUUUUGAAUUAUUUCCAUGAUAGGGAGCCUCUGUAAUUAAUUUCGUGGUCCUAUAGUGCCCAUAUUAUACUAGAACUUAGAAUCCUAUUUCCUAUGGGAAAAGGAGAAGUCACUGUAUCCUUGUUCAAGUAGAAACAGACGUGUUUUUCUUUCCUCCUUGGACUUAGAGAAUAUCUCUAUAAAUAGGGAUUCCCCUACUCUAGAAAUUCAAUUGAGUAUUCUAUUCAGUACUUGCCCACCCAAGUAUUGAGAGAGUUUGGCUGUGAAUUUGGGAUCACUGCAGAAGAUCGAAGAUUCAAAAACCGACUUGCUUCAAGAUAUUUGUUCACUCUUCAAGAGGUAAUCAUCUUUUGUGUGUAUAUAUUUAUAUUGAUCGUCUACGCAGCAGUAUGAUUCUGGUAUGCUUUCGCUGCGUCGGUCUGUUUUCUAACAGCUUCAUGGUACUUCAUUCUUUGCAUUCACGCAUUUAGGGAGAGUGUUUACGGAGUAGCAGAUAUCAACAAAAAGUUGCACUAUCUUCUAAACGGUCUGAAACUCACCCCUAGAUGGAUUUACUAUUUCUCCAUCUCUCACAAUCACAAUAGUCACACUCACUACAGUAAAUCCUUCACACAUUAUUUGAUUGCACCAAGAUCAACUUAUUCAAAAUGCACUGAUAGCAUCUGUUGCAAUGUCUGAAAUCCUCUGUGAAAGGUUUGUUAUCGAUCCCUCUCUUCUCAAAGGAUCGGUAAAUUUGUUGAACGUGUGAUGAAAUGUUCACGGAUCGAAUAUUCAGAACAAUCGUUGGUCCUAUUACCAAAAUCCUGAAUGAAGUUUGUAGAGACUGCUAAGAAAUGUUUGGCUGAUAAUGGUUCAGACCGACGGACUAUGGAAGUUGGAGUAUGCAUCAGAACUUCAAGGGAAAGACGAGAAAACGAAGCAAGGGAAGAGAUCUCAGAUAAUCAGUUGGAUAUCAGUGUUUUAAGUACAUAAUACAACAUGGGGAGUAUGGCUGAUCUUGUUGGUGUUUUAAUGAGCAAAGUUUUUCGCCAAAAGAUCAGAUCUGAAAACAAAGACUCCUGUGAUAUAUGUUUAGGACAAACUGCAGGUCCAUCUAAUGAACUCUGCCUAUAUGAAUUGUAUGCUUGUAUUCUCUUUUUUUUAGAUUUUGUGUUCUAAUUGAUACUUACAUUGCUUCGAUUGAUUUGAAAGAUGGUUAUACUUUU